UUUCAAUUGGGUUGAGGUUUGGACUCUGAAUGGGCCAUUGCAACACCUUCAUUAUUUUUUUUUUCAGCCAUUCUGUUGUAGAUUUGCUGGUGUGCUUGGGAUCAUUGUCCUGUUGCAUGACCCAAUUUCUACCAACAUUUGAUUCAUUUGAUAGAAUACUUUGAUUCACAGAGGAGCUCAUGGUUGACUCAAUGACUACAAGGAUCCCAAGUCAUGUGGCUCCAAAACAAGCCAAAAUCAUCAUAC